rnacentral:rRNA from 1 species
AGCGAACGCUGCGGCAGGCUUAACACAUGCAUGUCGAGCGGGCACUUCGGUGUCAGCGGCAGACGGGUGAGUAACACGUGGGAACGUACCCUUUGGUUCGGAAUAACGCUGGGAAACUAGCGCUAAUACCGGAUACGCCCUUUUGGGGAAAGGCUUGCUGCCGAAGGAUCGGCCCGCGUCUGAUUAGCUAGUUGGUGGGGUAAUGGCCUACCAAGGCGACGAUCAGUAGCUGGUCUGAGAGGAUGAUCAGCCACACUGGGACUGAGACACGGCCCAGACUCCUACGGGAGGCAGCAGUGGGGAAUAUUGGACAAUGGGCGCAAGCCUGAUCCAGCCAUGCCGCGUGAGUGAUGAAGGCCUUAGGGUUGUAAAGCUCUUUUGUCCGGGACGAUAAUGACGGUACCGGAAGAAUAAGCCCCGGCUAACUUCGUGCCAGCAGCCGCGGUAAUACGAAGGGGGCUAGCGUUGCUCGGAAUCACUGGCGUAAAGGGCGCGUA